GCGCCGCGUAUCGCGCGGGCGGAAGCCGCCGCUGCUUCCGAAGCAGUCGACGUGCAUGCGCCGUUCGAGUUGUCCGCGGUGCA
rnacentral:tRNA from 1 species